GACGAACGCUGGCGGCGUGCUUAACACAUGCAAGUCGAACGAAGUGGCGAACGGGUGAGUAACGCGUAAUCAACCUGCCCUUCAGAGGGGGACAACAGUUGGAAACGACUGCUAAUAACGCAUACUGACGGAGGGGUUUGCGUCUGAUUAGCUAGUUGGAGGGGUAACGGCCCACCAAGGCGAAGAUGAGAAGCCGGUCGGAGAGGAGGAACGGCCACAUUGGGACUGAUACACUGCCCAGACGCCUACGGGAGGCAGCAGUGGGGAAGCUUCCGCCAUGGACGAAAGUCUGACGGAGCAACGCCGCGUGAGUGAUGACGGCCUUCGGGUUGUAAAGCUCUGUUAAUCGGGACGCGGUACCGGAAUAGAAAGCCACGGCUAACUACGUGCCAGCAGCCGCGGUAAUUC
rnacentral:rRNA from 1 species